rnacentral:rRNA from 1 species
AACGAACGCUGGCGGCAUGCCUAACACAUGCAAGUCGAACGAGACCUUCGGGUCUAGUGGCGCACGGGUGCGUAACGCGUGGGAAUCUGCCCUUGGGUUCGGGAUAACAGUUGGAAACGACUGCUAAUACCGGAUGAUGUCUUCGGACCAAAGAUUUAUCGCCCAGGGAUGUGCCCGCGUAGGAUUAGCUAGUUGGUGAGGUAAAGGCUCACCAAGGCGCCGAUCCUUAGCUGGUCUGAGAGGUUGAUCAGCCACACUGGGACGUGGCACACGGCAGGCCUGCCACGGGAGGCAGCAGUGGGGAAUAUUGGACAAUGGGCGAAAGCCUGAUCCAGCAAUGCCGCGUGAGGGAUGAAGGCCUUAGGGUUGUAAAGCUCUUUUACCCGGGAUGAUAAUGACAGUACCGGGAGAAUAAGCCCCGGCUAACUCCGUGCCAGCCGCCGCCGUAACAC